rnacentral:lncRNA from 1 species
ACAAAUGUAAUUCUCUUUCGAUGACAUCGAAAAAUAUGAAAAUAAAAUAGUGAUAAAAAAAGUUUUAAAGUUACAAAUUUAACAAACUAUAUUAAGUACCUUAAGAAGACAUCUCAAGCAAAAUUAUUCAAUCAUAUAGAUGCCCACAACAUAUGUAGUAACAGUUGUUUGUAUCCAAUAUAUUCUUUUUAUUGGAGGUAAUCUUGUUUAUUGGUUGUUGAUUAUAAUUUAUUGUAGAGUUUCCUUAUUUGAAUUGUUGAUCAUGGAAUUUUGUUGUUUUUUGUUUUUGUGUAUUAAAAUUUAUUUUAAAAUUGUAUAUUGGAUGAAGAUGGCUCUUAUUGCUCUCUACCAGUUUGUGUUAAUUUCAGGAUGUGUCUUUUGUUUUUUUGGGAGAUUUCAGUGGUGAUCAUGUCGUUGAAGAAUAUUUUGACUCGAAUUGAUAGGACUACACUUGAAUGAAAUACGUGCCUUUUGAUUAAUUGAUUUUUAUGUGAUUUGCACUUUGGAUGGUGUUAUGCAUGUGCUCUGAUAAAAUAACGUAUGAAGUCUCUUUACGAAGUCCAGAACUACGACUACAACCAUAUUUGUAUCUGUAACAUUACAUUUCCUGUGAACGACAUGCAUAUUUGGAUAUUAAAUGAUGAAUCCCAUUUAUAGUUAAGCUCCCAUUGAACUCCUUAUGGUUUUUUUUUUUAAUUCUAAUAUGUUGUUUCUUCAAUUCUAUUUUGUAAAUAUGCAUACAAUUUAUACAGUUUGUACUCAGGAUUUGGAAUGAGAAAGACAAUAUACUUGAA